UGUUGGUCAUGAAGGACACUUCAUAUCAAUGAAGAUUCUGUAGAUGCUGAAAGAAACAAAUUGUGUUUCAAAGUUGUCCCUUACGUUAUUUUUCUUCCUCCCACUGCACAGAUAGUCUGAAGAUUUGUGCUCAACCUGACAUGAUGUAAGGACUUAUGAAUUCACUAUUAUUGAGCUUCCUUGAAAAUCUAUCCUUGCGGUGAGUGAGGCCCUUGGAAUUUAGGUGUUCAUGACACAAGUCAGACUCUGUUUCUCGCAUCAAUUGAACAAACAAAUAAUAAUGCAAUACCUGGCAUGAUGUAAGGACGAUGUCACCAUUACUGAGCUUCCUGGAAGAUCUAUUCUCUUUGUGAUGACUUAGGCCUCUUGGAAGUUAAGUGGUGUAUGACAAAAGUCAGACUAAUUGUAAUGCACUGUUUACUACUUAUCUAUUUUCCAGUUUCUUUCUCACAUCAAUAACGUCUUUCUCAAUGGCAAAGUGAUAUCAAGAAAGAUACAGUUUAUGAAACCUCCAUUAUUCCCAAAGAAAAAUGAUUAUAUGAUUUUUCCUCUAUUUCCAUUGAAGAACCCACAAGCAAUCCACUGUUUAAUGUCAAAAACAAAAUGAAGGUAAGCAUAUGUGGAUAAUUGUUACAUAAUUCUGUGAGACUCAUAUGCACUGUAAUCCUUGUCUUUUUCAACCACAAUUUACUUGUGAUUGACUCUAGCUACAAAAAGAAUGUGAACAAAAUUGAGAAUUAGACAAAGCUAGUCAUUCCUUCUUGUCAAUUUCAGCAAUUUCAGGACAUUCUCAUACACAAUAAAUGUUAUUGAAGCUGCAGGAACAUUUUUCAGAAGGUUUGGUGUGAUGCCCUUGUAAAAACCUCGAAAACCCUCAAACCGUGCAGUUUCCUUCACAACAUGCCAGCUAUCCGUAUACUUCGGAAAUCCAUCUGUACCAGGUCGUUGCUGCAACCGAGCUCGAAUAACCUGAAAUGGGUAUGUCAAAAUAAUGGCAGCAACUUUAGAAGACCCCCCAAGCAUGGCAUAAUCGACUGAAUUCAACAGAUCAGCAUCUGUAGUUUUAUGAUUCCUUUUGCUUUCUUUAGACUUAUAAUCAACAAUAACUUUUCGAAGUUCCUCAUAUGCUGUGAACUGAAUAGCCCCAUGAGAAACCAGGAAAAGAGCAGGAACAAUUCCUUUAUAAAGUGCACUCCAUCCUUCCUCUCUCAUUAUGGUUUUCAAGGCAUCGUAAAGCCCAGAAUAACGUUGAGUUUGAUGCAGGGGAGUCUGAAGCUGCAACCUUGUCUUUACAAGCCAAAUGGGAUUCGUACACAAGCAAACCAUUUAACACUAAUCUUCUGUUUUUCCCCUUUCCUUUCUGGUACACUUUAGACAUUAAUAGAUGCAUAUUAAAGCUCCAGCUUCUGCGGCAGAUGCAAGAUGAAGACCAGGGCUCAACUUCUCAUCCCUGUUCUUAGAAUACCUUUGUUUGGCUCUGCCAUAAAAGAAAAAAUAUAAACCCCAUGAAACUGUUGAACCAAGAACUGAAGGAAAGAAGCCUGCAUAAAGCCCUUUCAAACCCUGCAACAAAAGACAAGAUGGUUGUUUUACAAAAUUUGUUCACACAAGAAGUACGAUAAGAAUAAGUUUUCCAUGCCAAAGAAAAUCUUUGCUUUUACAUCAGUAGCAGGGAUAGGAUAGCGUGGCAGUUCCAUCCAGUGUAAAACACCAAACAUCACCAUCAAAUGAGUCAACCUAUAUGCCAACCCUAUAAGCUUCACUGCAAAAGGCUAUUUUCUUGAACAAUUCUCUACCUUCUUUUACUAAACAUUGAAAAUGUCCCGGGUCUGAAUGUGUACAAACCUCAAGCAAGUAACCUAGAGUACUAGCAAGCCAAAAGUGAAUGACGAUCCAUAUAAUUCUAUUUCUGACAGAAACUUGCUAUCAUGAUAUCAAUGAUCGACAAAAAGAAAUAGUGUAACAAUGCAAUCUUAAUCUGAUAUAAAGAUUUCUUGAAUUGCUAAGAUGAAUUCAAUACUCAAUUAUUAAAUAAUGAUAUUUGAUUUGCUCAGGACCUUAGCCCACAUUUCACUUGUAGAAAGAAUGAGAAUAAAAUAUAUAAGUUUAUAGUUUCAUUGCAGACCCCGCAUUGUUUUCUAAUAACCAAAAAGCCUAGAACCUGAAGCAAACAUGAUGAUGAUGACAGUUCAAGAAAAACUCAUUGCCCAAUUUUCACAUAUCUUUUUAAGUCUGUCAUCCCAAUUCCUAG
rnacentral:misc_RNA from 1 species